rnacentral:misc_RNA from 1 species
GAAAUGCGAUAAGUAAUGUGAAUUGCAGAAUUCAGUGAAUCAUCGAAUCUUUGAACGCACAUUGCGCCCGCCAGCACUCUGGCGGGCAUGCCUGUCCGAGCGUCAUUUCAACCCUCAGCCCCCCCGGGGACUGGUGUUGGGGAUCGGCCCGCCCUGGCGCGGCGCCGUCCCCGAAAUACAGUGGCGGUCUCGCUGCAGCCUCCCCUGCGUAGUAGCACACCUCGCAUUGGAGAGCGGCGCGGCCACGCCGUGAAACCCCAACUUCUGAUAGUUGACCUCGGAUCAGGUAGGAAUACCCGCUGAACUUAA